UUUUUCAGCCACACUCAGCUUCCCAAGGUAGGGACAGAAGAGAGAGGGUUCAGAUCCUGCAGAAGGGGCUACUGGCCAGUCUUUCUCUGAGAGCCCGUCUCCCAUCCUCCCCGGCUGGGGAAAAGGUGAAAACAACCCGAGUGUCCACCCGUGGAGGAAUGGAUGGGACAAAUGAGGUCCAUUUAUAGCUGCAAGACUUCAGCCUUCAAGAGGAAGGACGUCCUGACACCUGCUUCAACAUGGAUGAACUUUGAGGACAUUUUGCUGAGUGGGGGUCUUCCCUGACCGCCGCAACACAGAGUGAGCACACUGCGCAUCCAGACAUACUCGGGAGGGAGAAGACGCUCUGGAAGGAGAGAAUGGGGAUGGCUGCACGGCAUUGGAACGUGCUUCAUGCCAUUGAACUCUACAACCCAAAAUGGCAAUAAGGGGGCGCCUG